rnacentral:lncRNA from 1 species
GUAAGUCGGUUUUGGAGUUUGGAUUGCCAUCGUUAAGGCUCAGAAACAUCUUCCUAGCAAUAAAGUUGUAAUCUUUGUGGCUUAUAUGGAACCAUGCAUGAGAUAUAGUUAGCUCCAUGGAAGUAGAAUGUUAUUUUUGGAAGUUUGAGCCUUUAUAGCCUUUAUGAGACUUGUAAGCCAUCAAGUAAGAAACUUUAUGGCUUAAGACAUGGAACAAGCUUAGGAUCUAGAUUUGUAGCUUCUGGAUCGGAUUAAUAAGCACUUAAUGAGAUUUUUGCUUAACAGGGCUGUACGCUGGGCGUACAAGGAGGUACGCACCGCGUACAAGCCAGCAGCGAGUACACUCAAUGUACCUUGGUGUACACCCCGCGUACGCUACCAGUUUGGACUUUGAGCAUUUGGGCCUCGGAGUGGGCUGUGUUUUGGACUUAGAGUCUUUGGGCCUUAGGAGUCAUCAGAAGUCAGCAAAUAUGGGCCUUAUAAAGGUGUUGGGCCUAGGGUAAGGCCCAAUAGAGAGAAUUGGGCCCAACAUAGGAAUUAGGGCCAUUAUUGGGCCUUUAGUAGGCCAUUGGAGGUCUUAGAAGGAAUUAAGCGUUUGGGGCCAUGUUUGUGACCCACACCAUAGCAGGGGUAAAAUGGUCAUUUUACCCUAAGAUUAGUUAUCAAUAUUUGAUUUAGUGUUUAUGGGAUUUGUAGCCGGGGAGUUCUGGGGCAGCAGUCAGACAGUCUCAGUUUUAGCACCCCGGUAGCCAACAUUACGAGGUAAGUUUCCUUCCAGUAGGAAUGGGUCUACGGCCACAAUACCGACCAGUUUAGUUGGCAGUAGUUCCGGGCCUUGGUCCGAUGCAGUAGUAUAUAUGCUUGAUGUCUUCGUGAUUCAUGCAUGUUCUGUUAUGAGUAGUAGGUCGGGCACACCCGAUAUAGAAUGUGAUUAUGCUAUACGUUCAUGAUAUGUUAUAUCCAGUUACUCCAGACUUCGGUCUGAUGUCGGGUGGGGCCCAAAUUAUUCCGGACUUUGGUUUGAUGUCGGGCGGGGCCCAAAUUAUUCCGGACUUCGGUCUGAUGUCGGGCGGGGCCCAGUAUGUUUUAUCUGUAUUAUGGUAUGAUAUGUAGUAGUUUGGGGGAGCUCACUAAGCUUUGUGCUUACAGUUUUCAGUCUUGGUUUUAGGUGCUUCCGCAAGAAAAGGGAAUAGUUCGGGAUGAUGGCAUUGCACACACCAUAGUUUCAGCUUUUGUCCUGGGAGUCCCGACUACUUUAAGUGCGGUCGGACUGUGCACAUGAGCAGAGAUUGUACAGCUACUACUACCACCACCACAGCAGCAGAUUUGAUUUGCUUUCAUUACAAUCAGAGGGGACAUAAAAAGUCCCAGUGUUCGAGUUUAGGCGCAUCAGGGAAGGUAUCGGCACCUGCCCCUGCUACUUUGAGGAUUACGGACGGUCGUCAGGGCUGGGCUGAGGCGCCAGUGGCGAAGAGUAGAGCUUUUCAAAUGACAGAAGAGGAGGCGCGAGUGACGCCUGACGUUUAGCAGAGCUACAGUAUUGUUUGAUUCGGGGGCUACCCGAUCAUUCGUCUCUCUUGCGCUUAGCAAGAGGUUUAGCAGAGCUCCAGGGGAGCUGGAUUGUCCACUUGAGGUUGAGAUAGCAGCUGACAUGACCGUUAGGGUUGCGAGAGUACAUAGAGGAUGUUCCCUUCAAUUGUUCGAUGAGCAGUUUUCGGUAGACUUAGUCCCUAUUCCCCUGCGAGGGAAUAAGGUCAUAGUAGGCAUGGAUUGGCUGAGGCCCAAUGGGGCGGUGAUAGAUUGUGAGCUACAGUUAGUGAGAGUUCGCACUCUUAGUGGGGGAGAGUUAGUGAUUGAGGGCGAGAAGCCACAGCGCGGACCAGUUCUGUGUUCAGCAGCGAGAGCGAGGCGCUAUUUCCAGCAGGGCUGCGCCGGUUAUAUUGCCUAUGUUUUAGAUGCCCGGGAGAAGGGAAAGACUACGGUUGACGAUGUUCCGGUAGUGCGAGACUAGCCGGAUGUAUUUCCCGAGGAUUUGCCUGGAAUUCCUCCUGAGAGACAGGUCGUGUUCAGGAUUGACCUGAUCCAUGGUGCGGCUCCGAUAGCCAAGGCACCGUAUCGGUUGGCUCCUCCAGAGAUGCAGGAGUUGUCUAUGCAGCUGCAAGAGCUGCUAGACAAGGGUUUUAUUAGGCCGAGCAGUUCCCCCUGAGGAGCACCGAUUUUGUUCGUAAAGAAGAAGGACGGGUCGCACCGUAUGUGUAUAGACUACCAGGAGUUGAAUAAGGUGAUGGUGAAGAAUCGUUACCCACUCCUAAGGAUAGAUGACUUGUUUGAUUAGCUUCAGGGAGCAUCUUGGUUCUCCAAGAUUGAUUUGCGCUCCGGGUAUCAUCAGAUGCGGGUUAGGGAUGAGGAUGUGCAGAAGACUGCUUUCAAGACCCGCUAUGACCAUUAUGAGUUCGUGGUGAUGCCGUUUGGGCUCACCAACGCUCCAGCCGCAUUCAUGGACCUCAUGAACCGCGUAUGCAGGCCGAUACUGGAUCGGUCUGCGAUAGUAUUCAUAGAUGACAUCUUGGUUUAUUCCAAGACGCAGGAGCAGCAUGAGGAGCACCUGAGGGAGGUGUUAGAGACCUUGAGGAGGGAGAGGCUUUUCGCAAAGUUCUCUAAGUGUGAGUUCUGGUUGCGCGAUGUGCUGUUCCUUGGGCAUUUCGUCAACCAGAAGGGUAUACUGGUAGAUCUGGCUAAGAUAGAGGCUGUGAUGCAGUGGGAGGUUCCGAAGUCUCCAUCAUAGAUUCGGAGCUUCCUAGGUUUGGCAGGGUACUAUAGGAGAUUCAUCCAGGAUUUCUCCAAGAUAGUUGUACCGCUCACCCGACUGACUAAGAAGUCGGUGGUGUUUCGUUGGGGGCCUGAGCAGCAGGCAGCAUUCGAGACCCUCAGACAGAGAUUAUGCGAGGCACCAUUCCUUACCUUGACAGAGGAAGUAGAGGAUUUUGUAGUCUACUGUGAUGCUUCGAUCACAGGUAUGGGAGCAGUGUUGAUGCAGCGAGGCCGCGUGAUAGCUUACGCCUCUAGAUAGUUGAAGCCUCACAAGGCUAACUAUACUACGCAUGAUUUAGAGCUAGGGGCAGUGGUGUUUGCCCUCAAGAUUUGGAGACAUUACCUUUAUGGGGUCCGUUGUACCAUCUACACAGAUCACAAGAGCUUGAGAUAUCUCAUGGAUCAGCCGAAUCUUAACAUGAGGCAGCGUCGGUGGUUAGAUGUGGUGAAGGAUUACGAUUGUGAGAUCCUUUAUCAUCCAGGGAAGGCCAACGUGGUGGCCGGGGCCCUGAGCCGCAAGGUGGCAGCAGCACUGAUCAGGGAUAUAUGUCUGAGGAUGACAGUGACUACUCCAUUGUUGGAGCAGAUCAGAGAGGCACAGGUUGAGGGCCUCAAGGAGGAGAGGCAGAAGUGUGAGAGGAUCAUGGGUCGAGUAGCUACCUUUGACUAUGACAGUCGAGGACUGUUGACCCUUCAUGGGAGAGUUUGGGUACCGUACUGGGGCGGUGUACGGCAGGGAUUGAUGGACGAGGCCCAUAAGUCUCGAUUUUUCAUCCACCCAGGGGCGACAAAGAUGUAUAGAGAUCUUCGACCCUAUUAUUGGUGGCCCUGCAUGAAGCGGGAUGUCGUCUGGUAUGUAGAGAGGUGCCUGACCUGCAGGAAGAUCAAGGUAGAGCACCAGAGGCCUCACGGAAAGAUGCAGCCGUUAGACAUUCCAGUGUGGAAAUGGGAAGACAUCACCAUGGAUUUCAUCACUAAGCUUCCCAGGACCGCGCGUGGAGUGGAUUCGAUUUGGGUUAUUGUGGAUCGGUUGACGAAAAAUGCUCAUUUUAUACCGAUCCAGGAGAGCAUAUCGGCGGAGAAGCUAGCCGAUAUUUAUGUGUGAGAGGUUGUGGCACGGCAUGGAGUGCCUGUUUCGGUGGUGUCAGACCGAGACGUCCGUUUUACUUCUAGAUUCUGGAAGCGGUUUCACAACGAGAUGGGAACUCGUCUCCAUUUCAGCACCGUUUUCCAUCCUCAGACGUACGGCAGAGCGAAAGGACGACUCAGACUCUCGAGGACAUGCUCCGGGCUUGUGUUCUAGAUUUCGGUGGCAGUUGGGAUACGUAUCUUCCGUUAGCGGAAUUUUCGUAUAACAACGGUUACCAUGCGAGUAUUGACCGCCCUCCUUUCGAGAUGCUCUACGGGAGGAAGUGCAGGACCCUGAUUUGUUGGGGCGAGGUCGGUCAGCUUGUCAUUGGGAGCACCGAAGUGGUGCUCAAGACGACAGAGUUGAUUCAGCAGGUUCAUAGUAGACUGUAGACUGCGCAGAGUCGGCAGAAGAGUUACGCCGACAGGAGGCGUUCAGACUUGGAGUUUCAGGUGGGUGACAUGGUCCUCCUGAAGGUAUCACCCUGGAAAGGUUUCAUCAGAUAGAGGGGCAAGCUGGGCCCCAGGUUCAUCGGUCCUUUUAGGGUUUUGGCCCAGGUGGGUCGUGUUGCUUAUCAGUUGGAUCUUCCGGCAGAGCUCAGCCAGAUCCACAACACCUUCCAUGUUUCCCAGUUACAGAAGUGUUUAGUGGACGACUCAGCGGUUGUACCCUUAGAAGACAUUCAGGUUGAUAGCAGCCUGAAUUACAUUGAGAGAUCGGUCACGAUUUUGGACCGGAAGACAAAGACCUUGAGGUACAAGGUAGUUCAGCUAGUGAAGGUGCAGUGGCAACACCGGAAGGGUUCAGAGUGGACGUGGGAAUCCGAGGAAGAGAUGUUUGAGCAUUACCCGGAAUUGUUUUCAGAUUCAUUAGCAGCGGACUUCGAGGACGAAAUCUGAUUCAAGUGGGGGAGAUUUGUAACGAUCGUCUUCCGAGGUAUAAAUUAUUUAGAUUCUCAAGUUUUAUGUUGGGCUAUAAUAGAAUUGUUUAUGGGAUUGGGCCUCUUUGCUUUGGGUCGAGCCUUAGUCUGCCCAUAAGCCGUACGCGGGGCAUAAACCCGUUGUACGUUGGGCGUAGCAAUUAAAUGAAGCGCGGGGAGGAGAAGCGUACGCGCAGCGUACCAUAUUGUACGCCCAGCGUACGCGGCCAGGGGAAAACCCUAAUUUUAGGGGUUUAAGGCUAUAUAAACCCCAUUAUAGCCUCCUUCCCUGUUUUCCCAUCAACCUCCUCACUCUCAAGAAAACCCUAAUUCGUUUUUAUCAUCUCUUUGUGUGUGAAGAAGCUUUUGUGAGUGUUUCAAGGAAAGGAAGUAGUGUAGAAGGAAGGGAAGAAGUUGGAGAAGAAGCUUGAGCUCAGGGAUCUGGACUUUGCACCCUCUUGGUCAGCAAAGGAAGGUAUAAAGUUCUGAACUUUCUUCCUCUUUCCUUCUAGAUCUAGGUUAUGGAAGUUUGGACCUUUUUAAGUCCAAAGGUUGAGUCUUGAUCUUGUAAGUCGGUUUUGGAGUUUGGAUUGCCAUCGUUAAGGCUCAAAAACAUCUUCCUAGCAAUAAAGUUGCAAUCUUUGUGGCUUAUAUGGAACCAUGCAUGAGAUCUAGUUAGCUCCAUGGAAGUAGAAUGUUAUUUUUGGAAGUUUGAGCCUUUAUGAGACUUGUAAGCCAUCAAGUAAGCAACUUUAUGGCUUAAGACAUGGAACAAGCUUAGGAUCUAGAUUUGUAGCUUCUGGAUCGGAUUAAUAAGCACUUAAUGAGAUUUUGGCUUAACAGGGCUGUACGCUGGGCGUACAAGGAGGUACGCACCGCGUACAAGCCAGCAGCGAGUACACUCAAUGUACCUUGGUGUACACCCCGCGUACGCUACCAGUUUGGACUUUGAGCAUUUGGGCCUCGGAGUGGGCUGUGUUUUGGACUUAGAGUCUUUGGGCCUUAGGAGUCAUCAGAAGUCAGCAAAUAUGGGCCUUAUAAAGGUGUUGGGCCUAGGGUAAGGCCCAAUAGAGAGAAUUGGGCCCAACAUAGG